CACAGUUUCCUGUCGCGUGGAUGUGUUUCCUCUCUGGCCAUUGCCAUCCGCCCAAAUCUACAGACAUCCCGCAUGUUCCCGGGCUCGUCUCCCCAAUACAGGGCACCAAGCCACUUCGGAAGCGUUUUCCUCUCCACUCUGACAACAGGCAAGAGUGAGGGUCCAACAAUACAGAGGAAGUAACGUGUCGCUGCUACUCUUCCAUGCCCAGUGCCAGGAGCGACGGUACACUCCAGAGUGCUGUGCCCUGAUGGGCCUUUGAGUGGCCAGUGCAGUGGAUCAUCAGCCCUGUCUCCCAAGAGCUCCAGUCCCUUCUCCGGAGAGGAAGUGGGUCCACUGGCAGCUCAGGAGGCCAUAGCAGAUUGUGGGGCUCUGUGCAGUUGAUGUUAGUUAACCACUGGAUCCACGUGUUCACCGUGGCUUGCGCCCCUGCAUCCGAAAGUGAUCUUGGCUGCCGUGUCCUGGUCAUUGGUAGUGCAGGGAAAGGAUGCGGAAAGACGGGCUCCGAGCUCGGGGCGUCUGGCCUGGAGCUUUCCUACACUUGUGUCUUGCUCUGCAGCCUUACGGAAGUGUGGGUGGCGCUUUCUGGAAGCUGCACAAGAUUGUCACGUGUGCUCAACAGUCCUCCUCGGCUUUCCAGAAGAGGCUGGAACAGGGCCCUUGAAGAUGUUUGUGGACAUCAGAGGGCCAAAGACGACACAAAGUGAAACUGGAGACACCGCCCCCCCUUGGCAUCAUGAAACUGCCGAUGUUACUGGCUCAUGCAUGGGAGACACCAGCAUACAAAGUCUUGACACCAACACCUCAGAGGGCUGUGUUCUGUCCCCGUGACCAUCAUCUAGUGCCUGGAAAGACUAGUGACAAGAACUUGUUGCCAACUUCCUAUUACCUCCCUAACAGUUGUGCAAUAAACCCCAUAGGUUAAUUCA
rnacentral:lncRNA from 1 species